rnacentral:rRNA from 1 species
AGUCGAGAAUCUUCCGCAAUGCGCGAAAGCGUGACGGAGCAAUGCCGCGUGGUCGAUGAAGGCCUUAGGGUUGUAAAGACCUGUCACAUGGGACGAAAUUUGACGGUACCAUGAGAGGAAGCCACGGCUAACUACGUGCCAGCAGCCGCGGUAAUACGUAGGUGGCGAGCGUUGUUCGGAUUUACUGGGCGUAAAGGGUCCGCAGGGGGUUUGCUAAGUCUGAUGUGAAAUCCCAAGGCUCAACCUUGGAACUGCAUUGGAAACUGGUGAACUAGAGUAUCGGAGAGGUAAAUGGAAUUCCUGGUGUAGCGGUGGAAUGCGUAGAUAUCAGGAAGAACACCGAUAGCGAAGGCAAUUUACUGGACGAUAACUGACCCUCAGGGACGAAAGCGUGGGGAGCGAACAGGAUUAGAUACCCUGGUAGUCCACGCCGUAAACGUUGUGAACUUGUUGUGGUGGGAUUUAGCCCCUUCCGUGACGCAGCUAACGCCUUAAGUUCACCGCCUGGGGACUACGGCCGCAAGGCUA